UAGACCUCCCACAUUGCAACUUGAGACCAUUGCUCCUUGUUCUGUCAACUGCCACCACUGAGAACAGUCUAGCUCCUUCCUCUUUGGAGCCCCACUUCAGGUAGUCGAAGACGGCUAUCAAAUCCCCCCUCACUCUUCUCUUCUGUAGACUAAACUAUACCAGUGCCCUCAGCCUCU